rnacentral:lncRNA from 1 species
AGUUGGAGGUGUUGAGGUUGGGCAGGGACUGUGGACCAAAGUACAGCAGAUGACGGUUUUCGCGUUGGGACAGUUAUGGCCUGAUGGAUGUGAAUGCCUUCUUGAUAGAGUGCGUCUUCUUCAGGCUGACACGCUGAACUUGAUCCAAGGUGGACUCACUGCUGGCAGCACUUCGUUUGAAUCUAGCUGUGCAGCAACCCUUGAGGCCUGCAACAUGUUGGUUGACAGAUUAAAGGCAGACAUGAAGAAGCUCAAGCAGCAAUCCGGUGGUGAUGUUUCAUGGGAUGCNNNNNNNNNNUACUUCGUCUGAAUCUAGCUGUGCAGCAACUCUUGAGGCUUGCAACAUGCUGGUUGACAGAUUAAAGCCAGUCAUGAAGAAGCUCAAGCAGCAAUCCGGUGGUGAUGUUUCAUGGGAUGCUUUAAU